rfam:Macrophomina phaseolina MS6 contig00224, whole genome shotgun sequence.
GCGAUGGUGGUGUAGUUGGUUUAUCACGUCAGUCUAACAAAUUGCUAUAAGAAGCUGUUCUUGUUAGGUCACUGAAGGUCCUGGGUUCAAGUCCCGGCCGUCGUA